AUGGCAAAACUAAUGUGCUUAUGUUUCAUCAUCCUCACUAUUGCGGUAGCCGUGUCGGCUGACGAAUGUGAGGGUGACCGACGGGCCAUGAUCAAGGAGUGUGCUAAGUAUCAACAAUGGCCAGCAAACCCGAAGCUAGAUCCGUCGGACGCAUGCUGCGCCGUGUGGCAGAAGGCAAACAUCCCAUGCCUUUGCGCUGGUGUCACCAAGGAGAAAGAGAAGAUAUAUUGUAUGGAGAAGGUUGCCUACGUUGCCAAUUUCUGCAAGAAGCCGUUCCCACAUGGCUACAAGUGCGGAAGUUACACAUUCCCUCCUCUGGCGUAUUGA
rnacentral:rRNA from 1 species